UUGAAGAGUUUGAUCAUGGCUCAGAUUGAACGCUGGCGGCAGGCCUAACACAUGCAAGUCGAGCGGAAACGAGUUAUCAGAACCUUCGGGGGACGAUAACGGCGUCGAGCGGCGGACGGGUGGAGUAAUGCCUAGGAAAUUGCCCUGAUGUGGGGGAUAACCAUUGGAAACGAUGGCUAAUACCGCAUGAUGCCUACGGGCCAAAGAGGGGGACCUUCGGGCCUCUCGCGUCAGGAUAUGCCUAGGUGGGAUUAGCUAGUUGGUGAGGUAAGGGCUCACCAAGGCGACGAUCCCUAGCUGGUCUGAGAGGAUGAUCAGCCACACUGGAACUGAGACACGGUCCAGACUCCUACGGGAGGCAGCAGUGGGGAAUAUUGCACAAUGGGCGCAAGCCUGAUGCAGCCAUGCCGCGUGUGUGAAGAAGGCCUUCGGGUUGUAAAGCACUUUCAGUCGUGAGGAAGGUAGUGUAGUUAAUAGCUGCAUUAUUUGACGUUAGCGACAGAAGAAGCACCGGCUAACUCCGUGCCAGCAGCCGCGGUAAUACGGAGGGUGCGAGCGUUAAUCGGAAUUACUGGGCGUAAAGCGCAUGCAGGUGGUUUGUUAAGUCAGAUGUGAAAGCCCGGGGCUCAACCUCGGAAUUGCAUUUGAAACUGGCAGACUAGAGUACUGUAGAGGGGGGUAGAAUUUCAGGUGUAGCGGUGAAAUGCGUAGAGAUCUGAAGGAAUACCGGUGGCGAAGGCGGCCCCCUGGACAGAUACUGACACUCAGAUGCGAAAGCGUGGGGAGCAAACAGGAUUAGAUACCCUGGUAGUCCACGCCGUAAACGAUGUCUACUUGGAGGUUGUGGCCUUGAGCCGUGGCUUUCGGAGCUAACGCGUUAAGUAGACCGCCUGGGGAGUACGGUCGCAAGAUUAAAACUCAAAUGAAUUGACGGGGGCCCGCACAAGCGGUGGAGCAUGUGGUUUAAUUCGAUGCAACGCGAAGAACCUUACCUACUCUUGACAUCCAGAGAACUUUCCAGAGAUGGAUUGGUGCCUUCGGGAACUCUGAGACAGGUGCUGCAUGGCUGUCGUCAGCUCGUGUUGUGAAAUGUUGGGUUAAGUCCCGCAACGAGCGCAACCCUUAUCCUUGUUUGCCAGCGAGUAAUGUCGGGAACUCCAGGGAGACUGCCGGUGAUAAACCGGAGGAAGGUGGGGACGACGUCAAGUCAUCAUGGCCUUACGAGUAGGGCUACACACGUGCUACAAUGGCGCAUACAGAGGGCAGCCAACUUGCGAAAGUGAGCGAAUCCCAAAAAGUGCGUCGUAGUCCGGAUUGGAGUCUGCAACUCGACUCCAUGAAGUCGGAAUCGCUAGUAAUCGUGGAUCAGAAUGCCACGGUGAAUACGUUCCCGGGCCUUGUACACACCGCCCGUCACACCAUGGGAGUGGGCUGCAAAAGAAGUAGGUAGUUUAACCUUCGGGGGGACGCUUACCACUUUGUGGUUCAUGACUGGGGUGAAGUCGUAACAAGGUAGCGCUAGGGGAACCUGGCGCUGGAUCACCUCCUU
rnacentral:rRNA from 1 species